rnacentral:rRNA from 1 species
GACGAACGCUGGCGGCGUGCUUAACACAUGCAAGUCGAACGGAAAGGCCCUGCUUUUGUGGGGUGCUCGAGUGGCGAACGGGUGAGUAACACGUGAGUAACCUGCCCUUGACUUUGGGAUAACUUCAGGAAACUGGGGCUAAUACCGGAUAGGAGCUCCUGCUGCAUGGUGGGGGUUGGAAAGUUUCGGCGGUUGGGGCUGGACUCGCGGCUUAUCAGCUUGUUGGUGGGGUAGUGGCUUACCAAGGCUUUGACGGGUAGCCGGCAUGGGAGGGUGACCGGCCACAUUGGGACUGAGAUACGGCCCAGACUCCUACGGGAGGCAGCAGUGGGGAAUAUUGCACAAUGGGCGGAAGCCUGAUGCAGCAACGCCGCGUGCGGGAUGACGGCCUUCGGGUUGUAAACCGCUUUCGCCGGUGACGAAGCGUGAGUGACGGUAAUGGGUAAAGAAGCACCGGCUAACUACGUG